rnacentral:lncRNA from 1 species
UGAUGUCCUUGUUUGAUCGAAGUCAACAAAGUCCGAACGUCUUCCACCCUGAUCAAAGAGGAGUCAGGAGUCAGCUGAUGGCGAAACAGACGGAAACCGCUGCCGUUAUCAACACAUCUGUCACGAAAAAUACAACGCUAAAAUAUUCGAGUACUCGCACCAAGGAACGCUAAAAUUCCUCUGCUUGUGUGAUGAGUCUGAUCUGAAUGUUACAUCCAUGGCAUUCUUUUUCAGCCUAUUGUCUUUCACGUUUCGUUGCAGUUUUACGGGAUUUUUAAGCUUUUUGAAACUAUAGAUUUCAGAAUAAAUAUUGGAAAUCUUCUCUUAAUUGUUAUCGUAGUUAUUUUCUUAGCAAUAUGAUGUAAAGGUGUAACUCAUGUAAUAAAAAGGUACCCAAGUCUCCCACCAGAUGUUGUCGAUUAAUUUACCCAAGUCUCCCACCAGAUGCUGUUGAAUAAUUCAACAACAUCAACAAUGGCCGCUUCCAUUCACGUUGAAUGUUAUUGGUGUGUCUUGAAAAGGUUAUUUAUUUAUCUUCAUUUAUUUCCAUUGUGAAAAACUACGUGUAAAGUGCUUUAGCUCAUUUAAAAGAUUUCCGUGAACAGAUCACAUUCUUUAGGAAUGGAUAUUGUGCGAGUGAAACUGGGAAGAAACAUAAAUUGUACUGCAACUCCUCCCUUAGUAUGAAAUGGAUAAACAGGCCACAGUUAACAACAACAACAAAGGAAUAAUUACUUCCCGGAUAUGGCGAGUCGGCCACAGGUGUCAAUCUCCAACGCAGUUUCUUUAUUGAAAUUAUGCCCAGGAGAAAACGUGUUGAAAGAGUCGUGCAGCUCACUGCUGUCGUUCAACCAUUUAUUUGUUCAAAAUCAUUGCAUUCUACUGAAUUUGCCAUCAAAAUGGAACAGGAUUCAUCAUAAUUGUCUGCUGUUUGUAUUGGACUUGCUAGAUCGCCAAUCCCAGCCAUGCCGAUUUUUAGUGUUCUUCAUUACAGGUUUCUAACACAUUGGCAUGACAGAUUUGACGAGAAGUCAUAUUUUGAAGAAAAAGGACAAGGACCAAACAGUCAACAAGGUUCCUUGUUUGCUAACCCGUUGGCUGCUACCCUUCAAUCUCCCUGUUUACUUCCUUACACAGGUCCUAUUGAUUUGAGGGUAACUCUUUCGCUGCUGAUCACAUCAAGUCCUCAACUGUUAUAUACUGACGAGAGAAUGCUGCAAUUCAAGACUGAUGGAUUGUGUAGUUGUUAGAUAAAUGACAAGUGCAUAUCUGG